GGAGGAGCCUCUGGAGAGAUCCGUUAAAUCGGACGCCGAAGGAGCAAGUUUUUGUUGCUAUGCAAACAGCAACAGAAGUGAAACUCUCAGGCAAAAGGACAGAGGAGAUAAG
rnacentral:ncRNA from 1 species